CCCGCUCAGAAACUUAAAGGAAUUGACGGGGGCCCGCACAAGCGGUGGAGCAUGUGGUUUAAUUCGAUGGUACGCGAGGAACCUUACCAGGGCUUGACAUACGUUGGAAGCGCAUCGAAAGGUGCGUGCCGCUUGCGGCCGGCGUACAGGUGCUGCAUGGCUGUCGUCAGCUCGUGCUGUGAAGUGUUGGGUUAAGUCUCGCAACGAGCGCAACCCCUGCUGCCUGUUGCCACCACGAGAGGUGGGGACUCAGGCGGGACCGCCGGUGACAAACCGGAGGAAGGUGGGGACGACGUCAAGUCAUCAUGGCCCUUAUGUCCUGGGCUACACACGUGCUACAAUGGCCGGUACAGAGCGCAGCGAGGCCGCGAGGCGGAGCGAAUCGCUUAAAGCCGGUCCCAGUACGGAUUGGAGUCUGCAACCCGACUCCAUGAAGUUGGAAUCGCUAGUAAUCGCGCAUCAGCAUGGCGCGGUGAAUACGUUCCCGGGCCUU
rnacentral:rRNA from 1 species